rnacentral:sRNA from 1 species
UUUCAGAAUGUAUAUGACCUCUCUACUCGAUUUUGUUCCAUCUAUAACAAUAUCAGUUGGUCUGCUACUUUCAUCUAGAGAAUUGUUAAAACUAGUUCCAGCUUUGAAAAUUAGCUGCAUGGUAGCUACAAUGCAUUGCAUUUCACCUUAAGGCUAAAGCAGUCAUCUUUAGUUUCAUCCAAAACUUUUUUGAUGAUCAUCUUAUUGGAGCUGAGUGGUUUUCUGACAUUUCCAACCAAAUUUGCAGCAACUGCAUUUGUAUGAAUCAGAAAGGACUUUAUUGAUCUUAUGAGGAGCUUAAGUAAUUGGGCAGUGGUGAAUGAUGAUAACCCAAAAAAGAAAGAUUGGAUGAUAAAGACAUGAAGAAAGUUUUAUAGUUUGUGUCUUGUGUAGAAUGGCUGCUCAAGUGGUCUAUAUAGUUUGGAAAGAAACAGAUAGGGAUUAUCAGGUAUUUUUGGAUGGUCUUGGCCUUGGGAG